CCAAUAGCGUAUAUUAAAGUUGCUGCAGUUAAAAAGCUCGUAGUUGAAUUUCGGGACCAUCAUGUCGGUCGUGCCUCGGUACGUACUGGCAUUGUUGGUUUCUCCCUUCUGACGAACCAUGAUGUCAUUUAUUUGGUGUUGUGGGGAAUCAGGACUGUUACUUUGAAAAAAUUAGAGUGUUUAAAGCAGGCUCACGCUUGAAUACAUUAGCAUGGAAUAAUGAAAUAGGACGUUUGAUUCUAUUUUGUUGGUUUCUAGGAUCGACGUAAUGAUUAAUAGGGAUAGUUGGGGGCAUUAGUAUUAAAUUGUCAGAGGUGAAAUUCUUGGAUUUAUUGAAGACUAACUACUGCGAAAGCAUUUGCCAAGGAUGUUUUCAUUAAUCAAGAACGAAAGUUAGGGGAUCGAAGACGAUCAGAUACCGUCGUAGUCUUAACCAUAAACUAUGCCGACUAGGGAUCGGAUGAUGUUAAUUUUAUAAUGACUCAUUCGGCGCCUUACG
rnacentral:rRNA from 1 species